rnacentral:lncRNA from 1 species
GGGAAUCAAAAUAGUGGUACUUUUAGCCUUUGUUUCUUUUAUACCACACUGCAUUCUCUGUCUCUCACUCAGCUGCUUCUAUUAUACUGACAAAUUAAAUAAACCACUCCAUUGCUAAAGAGGCUUGGGCGGGCUGGGCUUCGGUACACUGCCGCGCUAGGAAGUUGAAAUAAACAUUUAUCCUGGUCUUAUUCUUAACAAAUUUAAGCUAACUUUAGUCAAGCAUCUUUUUUUUUCUUUUUUCUUUUUUCUUUUUCUUUUUUCUUUUUUUUUUAAGAAUGAAUGAAAGAAAGAGGGAAAUGGGAGGGGAGGGAAAAAAAAAGGAGUACUUCAAAUUUUUGUGCCGAUCUGCAACACCAAGGGAUGUGGCGUCUGAAGCAAAGGAGUAAUGAGAAGCCAUGUGUCCAGGUGACAUUUGUGAUCACCGUGUGGCGAGCAGAGGAAACUCCCCUGGCUUCCACCCUCAUGCCAGCAGCCUGCUCUCAGAGAGCAAAGGUGGGGAACCAGUUGUUCUGUUUGCCUAGGAAGUCAUAUGGUUCUGGUACUCACAUGGGAUCCUGAACAUCAUGAUGAUAUGCUAUGAAUAUGUGUGAUGAACAACAUGGCAGGAACAAAUUAUUUUCUCCAUCCAUGCUGGCAUGUUCUUGUCUGCUGUAAAGAUGAACUGUCAGGUUCAUGUUCCAAAUGUUCUUCUUGCUCUCCCCUCUGUCUUGCAACCCAUGUUGGCCUAGUUUUGAAGCAUACUGAAUAAUGGAUGGGAGCAGCUAAAAUUUCCUUCAUGUGCAAGACAAUGUGACCUUCCUAAUAUCAAUUUCUAAAGUUCCCAAACUCUUUAGCAAUUUAAUAAAUCCAGGACACAAAAACUCUUUAACAAUUUAAUAAAUGUAGGGCACAAAAAAUACUGAGUAUUGAUGGGGCGUCUGAUAAUAAUACAUAAAUGAAAAUGGUAUUUAAUUGAAAUUUUGCUCAAAAAUUAUUUUUGUCCUUGGGCUACAUUUUCUUACUGUGCUUACGUCUUGGCGUGCCUCCUACUGUUAGCUGUAUAGUUCUAUAGAUACAGUGAUAUAUAUUCAUGUGGGCAUUACCUAUAUAUCUCUUGUUUGCUAAACCUGAAGUAAUUUAUGUAAUUAUACACAUAAUGUAUUUUAUCUAAAUACACAAAGAAGAUUUUUUUAAAUGCCACUUAGGAUCCAGAUUUAACUUAAACCACUACUUAGUCUAUCUCCCUUAAUAGGAUACUAAAAAGGAAUUUUAUGACAACAUUAUCAGUAGCAUUUUGCUGAUAAUUAGAAUAACAAUAAUAAUACUGAGAUAUUUUUUUCAGUAAUAAUGGUGUUAUUAAUGAGAUUUUUAUGAAAGACAGACUUCUUUGGUAUAAUUAUGAAAAUUGAUCUUUUGCAUUUUACUUAUUCACUGAAAUCAGAUAAGUGGCUUAACUACAUGUAUUAUUUCUAAUAAAUAUUCAAAAGAAUGCAUUUAAACAAGGCACCUCAUUCUAUUCUUGCUCAUAUUCCUUGCAUUUAAAUAAAAGUGUAAUUGCUCUGCUUUUUUAAACUGCUAGUUUGGAUUAGCUGUCUAACCUGUACAGUGUAGCUGUUUGCUGUUUGCAUUUUUAAUAGCUUUAUUACCAUUUGGUGAAGCCUUAAUUUCUCACUCCCUUGAAGAGUCCUGCCUUUAAGUCAGCUCUACAAUUUAACCAGCAAUAAUCUGUCAAGAUAAGAUAAAGACCUACACCAGAUGAAAUGCAGUAUUUUUGUGUAGCAUUCUGUCAUUGUUAAAGGAAAGAUCUGAGUAUGUCAAAAUGUAACACCUGAAAGUUUAAUAAACUUUGUAGCAUAAUUUUACAGUUCACAUUUUAAAAUAAAUUGUUCUAGAAUACAUUAGCUUGUUCACUAGUGAAAUCAGUUAAAUAUGUAUAUAAAUAUGUUUGGGUGAAGGGAGCCAGCAGUUUUUCAACAAGGAUAAAAAUUCUUUCAG